rnacentral:rRNA from 1 species
UACGUAGGGUGCGAGCGUUAAUCGGAAUUACUGGGCGUAAAGGGUGCGCAGGCGGUUCCGCAAGUCAGGCGUGAAAUCCCCGGGCUUAACCUGGGAAUGGCGCUUGAAACUACGGGACUGGAGUAUGGCAGAGGGAGGUGGAAUUCCACGUGUAGCGGUGAAAUGCGUAGAGAUGUGGAGGAACACCGAUGGCGAAGGCAGCCUCCUGGGCCAAUACUGACGCUAAGACGCGAAAGCUAGGGGAGCAAACAGG